GACGAACGCUGGCGGUGUGCUUAACACAUGCAAGUCGAACGGUAAGGCCCUUUCGGGGGUCCACGCGUGGCGAACGGGUGAGUAACACGUGAGUAUCCUGCCCUCAUCUCUGGGAUAACAGUCGGCAACGGUUGCUACUACUGGAUAUGAGCUUGCCAGGCAUCUUGUGGGUUGGCAAGAUUUUUUUGGUUGGGGAUGGAAUCGGGGCCUAUCCGCUUGUUGGUGUGGUAGUGGCUCACCAAGGCUUCGGCGGGUAGCCGGCCUGGGGGGGCGACCGGGCACAUUGGGACUGGGGUACGGCCCAAGCUCCUACGGGAGGCAACAGGGGGGAAUAUUGCACAAUGGACGGAAGUCUGAUGCAGCAACGCCGCGUGCGGGAUGACGGCCUUCGGGUUGUAAACCGCUUUCAAGUGGGACAGAGCUGAUUGUGACGGUAGCAGUAGAAGAAGCACCGGCUAACUACGUG
rnacentral:rRNA from 1 species